UACAGAGGUCCCAAGCGUUGUUCGGAUUCACUGGGCGUAAAGGGUGCGUAGGUGGUCGGGUAAGUCUGAUGUGAAAUCUCUGAGCUUAACUCAGAAACUGCAUUGGAUACUAUUCGGCUGGAGGAGUGGAGGGGGGACUGGAAUACUUGGUGUAGCAGUGAAAUGCGUAGAUAUCAAGUGGAACACCAGUGGCGAAGGCGAGUCCCUGGACAAUUCCUGACACUGAGGCACGAAAGCUAGGGGAGCAAACAGG
rnacentral:rRNA from 1 species